UACGUAGGGGGCAAGCGUUGUCCGGAAUCAUUGGGCGUAAAGAGCGUGUAGGCGGUCCGAUAAGUCGGUUGUGAAAGUCCAGGGCUCAACCCUGGGAUGCCGACCGAUACUGUCGGACUAGAGUUCGGAAGAGGCGAGUGGAAUUCCGGGUGUAGUGGUGGAAUGCGUAGAGAUCCGGAGGAACACCAGCGGCGAAGGCGGCAUCCUGGACUGGUCCUGACACUCAUGAGCGAAAGCGUGGGGAGCGAUCCGG
rnacentral:rRNA from 1 species